rnacentral:rRNA from 1 species
AUUGAACGCUUGCGGCAUGCCUUACACAUGCAAGUCGAACGGCAGCACGGGUUCUUGCACCUGGUGGCGAGUGGCGAACUGGUGAGUAAUACAUCGGAACAUGUCCUGUAGUGGGGGAUAGCCCGGCGAAAGCCGGAUUAAUACCGCAUACGAUCUACGGAUGAAAGCGGGGGACCUUCGGGCCUCGCGCUAUCGGGUUGGCCGAUGGCUGAUUAGCUAGUUGGUGGGGUAAAGGCCUACCAAGGCGACGAUCAGUAGCUGGUCUGAGAGGACGACCAGCCACACUGGGACUGAGACACGGCCCAGACUCCUACGGGAGGCAGCAGUGGGGAAUUUUGGACAAUGGGCGAAAGCCUGAUCAAGCAAUGCCGCGUGUGUGAAGAAGGCCUUCGGGUUGUAAAGCACUUUUGUCCGGAAAGAAAUCCUUGGCCCUAAUACGGUCGGGGGAUGACGGUACCGGAAGAAUAAGCACCGGCUAACUACGUG